rnacentral:rRNA from 1 species
CACCGGCGGCUCGAGUGGUGGCCCCUUGUAUUGGGUCUAAAGCGUCCGGAGCCAGCUUGGCAAGUCCCCUGGGAAAUCUGGCGGCUUAACCGUCAGGCGUCCAGAGGAUACUGCCAGGCUUGGGACCGGGAGAGGUGAGAGGUACCUCAGGGGUAGGGGUGAAAUCUUGUGAUCCCUGAGGGACCACCAGUGGCGAAGGCGUCUCACUAGAACGGGUCCGACGGUCAGGGACGAAAGCUGGGGGCACGAACCGG